rnacentral:rRNA from 1 species
UACGUAGGGUGCGAGCGUUGUCCGGAAUUAUUGGGCGUAAAGAGCUCGUAGGCGGUGUGUCACGUCGGCCGUGAAAACCUGCAGCUUAACUGUGGGCGUGCGGUCGAUACGGGCAUCACUGGAGUUCGGCAGGGGAGACUGGAAUUCCCGGUGUAGCGGUGAAAUGCGCAGAUAUCGGGAGGAACACCGGUGGCGAAGGCGGUUCUCUGGGCCUGUACUGACGCUGAGGAGCGAAAGCGUGGGGAGCAAACAGG